rnacentral:tRNA from 1 species
CAAAUUAAAGCUUUAGUAAGCAUUUUAUUUACAUUAAAAAGAUAAUUGUUGAUUCAAUUUAAUUUGA